CCCACCUCUGCCUUCCAAGGUGCUGGGAUUACAGGCAUGAGGCACUGCGCCAGCCUUCAACCAUGUUUUCAUUUCUUUAUUUUUGAGACAUGGUCUCCAUCUGUUGCCCAGGCUAGAGUGCAGUGAUGCAAUCAUGGCUCACUGCAGCCUCUACCUUCUGGGCACAAUUGAUCCUCCUGGCUAAUUUUUUUUAUUUUUAAUUUUUUUUUGUAGAGACAGGGUUUUACCAUGUUGCCCAGGCUGGUCUGUAACUCCUGAGCUCAGGUGAUUUGCCCACCUCAGCCUCCCAAUGUGGUGGGAUUACAGGCAUGAGGCACGGUGCCCGGCUGAAAACGAAUGAAUGACCUUUGGGUCACAGGUCCACCGGCGACUCACCAGGGGUUUGUGCCCCUUCCUUCUUUCCUUCUCAGUGGAGUUUGAAGCACUUACGGGUGUCAAGGAAGCAAGUCUUAUCGCCCCUUUCCACCUUCUAUGAGUUUUCUUUGGCCAUAUUAGUUGUUAGGCCAUAGAAUAUAAAUGCUAAGAGUG
rnacentral:lncRNA from 1 species